CCAAAGGCUCUUUUCAGAGCCAUUAACCUCUAUCUUGCAAGUGAUC
rnacentral:ncRNA from 1 species